AAACAAUCCUUUAGGAAUGGGUUAUCAGCAGCUAAUGGCUGGUUUGUUACUUACAAGGCUUCAGAUGAAGCGCAGGGUGGUUUAAGGUCUGUCACGCUGCGGUAAUAAGCAAAUAGAAGGGGAUUACGAUCAUUACAAACUAAUCAUGCGAGUAUUAUAUAUAUUUUAAUUAGCAUCUGCCGCUGCACAGUUCGAGCAGUUACGAGUUCUCUGCCAUCCCAUGCCAGCCCCUUGCUGCUAUCAAGAGACUGAGCAGAGUGCAAGACUGACACCCUUGAAAACGCACUGAGAAAAUUGGAAAAGUUUGGGUCCUGUAAGCAUUUUAUCACAUUGCCCAUGAUGAGCCUUCAUCAAAGGCAUUUGUGUUUUUCCUUUAAAGCCCUUAAUGGUCCAAGACACAUAUAGUUGAGGCAGCCCCGCUUUCUUUAUUAGCCUUCCAUUAAUCUAAAAGCUACAAGUAGGGAUCUGUACCAGUUUGGGGACAUCCUUUUCCAACCUCCAGAUAUUUUCAGUCGCAAGUCCCCUCCAAUGCAGCUAGCAGUUGAUUUUUAUCACUCUCUACUUGUUGCAGUGCAAACAUGUGCUAAACCACAUCAAAGUGUGAAAGGCAAGGCAUAUACAUCUAGAUAUGGACAGAUAUAGGUAUAUUUAAACCACCAGGAUUCUUGAAGUAGCCUUUAACUUUAAUACUAAAUCAUACACUGCAAUCUCAAGAGUGGGACACCCUUUCCAAAACAAAAGAUUCUCUUUUUUGCCACAUCUAUUACUUUUCUACACGAAAGUGGGUUUUUUAAAAAUCCCUCCAAUGCUAGAUGUAAACAGUUUAGCUUUUGUUUAGCUUGCAGAGCUAUGAAGGCCUACAUUACAGUAGAGGGCUUUAAGGAGUAUUUGCUGCAUGAAUCAGAACAAAAAAAGGCCGUCUUGUGAAUUAUCUCGUCUCUAUGCUAUCAUCCUCAAACCCAAGAUCCGAAGGUAUCAUAAGAAAUUUACAUGGGCUUUUAGUAGCUGCAUCCCAUUAAACAGUUAAACUUUACUUUUUUUUUUUUAAUAAUUUUUUAUUAAAGUUU